rnacentral:rRNA from 1 species
UUUGAUCAUGGCUCACGACGAACGCUGGCGGCGUGCCUAAUACAUGCAAGUCGAGCGAAUCUUGAGGAGCUUGCUCCUUAAGGUUAGCGGCGGACGGGUGAGUAACACGUGGGCAACCUGCCUGUAAGACUGGGAUAACACCGGGAAACCGGUGCUAAUACCGGAUAAUUCUUCACCUCUCAUGAGGUGAAGUUGAAAGUCGGUUUCGGCUGACACUUACAGAUGGGCCCGCGGCGCAUUAGCUAGUUGGUGAGGUAACGGCUCACCAAGGCGACGAUGCGUAGCCGACCUGAGAGGGUGAUCGGCCACACUGGGACUGAGACACGGCCCAGACUCCUACGGGAGGCAGCAGUAGGGAAUCUUCCGCAAUGGACGAAAGUCUGACGGAGCAACGCCGCGUGAGUGAUGAAGGCCUUCGGGUCGU